UUAAAAAGAGAGAGGAUAGAGUGAAGUUCUCAUUUUUGAAUGGGCUUGGUAGAUGAAGAUGCAUAAUUAAAUGGUUUAUGAUAUAGUUGCCCCUUUCUUUGAUUCAGGGAAAGCUGUUGGCAGCUUUAUCAUUAACCAUUGUUGUGUAUCUUUGUUAUAACCUGUUGUUCCUUUCAAUAUGAGUUUUCUUCACAGUGAUGGUUCUUCCAUAAAUACACUUGAUAUGAGCCCUCUCAAUUGAACCCAAAUCAUGUACAGUUUGUGAUAUAAUGAACACAGUCCUUUAAAUUUAAUAAUGCUUUCCAUAUAGAUUAUUCUGCCCAUCAUUCGCCCUUAAUUCUUAUCAAAAGCUAAAUAGAAUUUAGAUGCUUCAUUUAAAGGCUGGCAGGUAUAUAAGAUCAUAGAAUUGGCAGAACUUAAGUGAUGGGUUGAACUAAAUUGUAUUUUUGCAAUAGUAAUUUUCCAUCCAGUCAUGUUUAAUGCACUAAGAGGGCUAUGACUACGAAGAUAGGAUAGAGUGAAAUUUCUCAUUUUUUCAUGGCUCGGUAGAUGAAGAUGCAAAAUUCAAUUUUGCCUAGAUAAAAUUUAUUGGUGAUACAUAAUUUGCCUAGAUAGGAUAGGAGAAACUACAUUAUGAAACAAAUUGGUGAUACAUAAUUUGAACCAAAAAAAUAUCGUUUUCUGAGUCUCCUUAGUUCAUUCAUACAUAAUUUAAACCAAAAAUAACUUGAAACUAUUUUCUUUUCCUUAUUGAGUCUUCUUAGUUCAUUCAUUAUUUUUUGAGACUCUUUUAGAGUAAGGUUAAGAAUAUCCUGCAAUUUAUUAUAUCUAUCACAGUUAUAAGGUCUUACCUGGCAUGUUUCACUUCGUUCCAUGAAAUAAUUUUCAUCAUCAUCUUUGCAUUUGUCAUCUAAAUCAUGUUCAUUGGUCCAAUAGUCCGAGAGUUUGUUCAUGUCGUUUUUUAGGAUUGUCAUGAAGCAUAGAUUUGCUAUCUCCUUGUGUUCCGAAUUGUCUUUGUCACUCUGGCUUCCAAAAGAUUUGUUUUUAUUAAAUUCUCUAGAAACCCUUUCUUUUAAGAUUUGGGCAUUCAGCUUGAACAUGCCUAUAUCUUCUACACUUAUAAUACAUUCCAUCAUUCUUGUCUUAUUCAUUAUAUUGCCUGAUUUGCUUGGGUGGCAUCUUGCCAUGUUUUUGUAUCUUCUCAUUAAACCAUCCAUGUUAUGGCAAUCUCUUCUUCAAGAGCUUCAGGGUCGUCAUCAGUAUCAUUUUCUAUCCUUUUAAUUGUAGCUUUGAAAGUGAUUGUUUUCUUCUUUCCUUACUGGCUUGUUUUCUUAAGGUGAGUUUUCUCGAAUGCUAUAAGAUCUCCUUGAAGCUCAUCAUAUGAAAGUUUAUUUAGAUCUUGUGAUUCAAAUGCAACUAUUUUUGUCUACCAAGUGGUAGGUAGACUUUUCAGAAUUUUUCGAACUUGAUCAUCACUUGAGUAUGGUUUAUCAAAAGCUUUUAGAUUGCUAAUGAUUUUGCUGAACAUUGCAAACAUUUCUUCAAUGGAUUCUCCUUCUUUCAUCUAGAAGAGUUCAUAGUCAUGAAGUUGAUCUGAGUUUCUUGCACUUUGCUAGUUCCUUCAUAAGUAACUUUCAGUUUAUCCCAUAUUUCUUUUGCUGUAUCACAACUUGAGUUUAUCUCAUUCAUCAUCUCCACUUAUAGCAUUAUAGAGUAAGUUUCGUACUUUAGAAUUAACUUGACAACUAUCAUUUGCUCGUCUGUGUGCUCAUUUAUAUCUUUUGGAUCACCAGGAAAUAAAGACACUAUAAUUUUAUACUGAUUCGGAUUCAAUGUGAAUCAUACUCCAGUCCCCUUGGGUUGCAAGAGUGUUCUCUUUCAGUGAUCGACGUAUUCAAUGUGAAUCCUACUCCAGCCCCCUUGGGUUGCAAGUGUGUUCUCUUUCAGUGAUCGACGUUUCUUGAGUAUAGAAUGAUUGAUGUAGCUUUACACCAACAACUUAAUCUCUAUGUCUCUUUUCUCUUCUUGAUACAAGAUCGGUGUUUAUCUCUUUUUUUUCUCUCACUAAUUACACAACAGAUCUAUAAGAAUUACAAUGCUUGUUUGGAGUAGAACAAAAGGAGUGAAAAUGUUUGUUCAAAGUAUGUUCUCUUCAAGUCCAAAACAUAUGUACAUAUACAUUUCAUGACGCCUUUUUGACUCUUGAAUGACAGAGAGAUUGCAAACCCAAGGGAGUUGAUCCUUGAAAGGAAUCAUAGAUGGAUUUUUUCUAAGAAUAAAGUCAAGUUUCCAUUGAUCUUCCUUGGUUUAUGGUCUUGACUAACGUUCCAUCCGCUAGACAUAUCUUUUUGUUACUUGAGGCAUAUCCGUUGGAACCCUUGGUUUCUGGCUUCAUCGAUUUUCAGUGCAUCCUUUUGCGAUCUCGUUUCCUUUUGAUUUGGGACCUUCCAGUAAUAGCUUCCAUCAAUCACUGAUUGAUUCUUCUUUCGGAUUUACGCCGCUUCUUCCUUUUUCAUCACUAUUCAUUGCCUCUUUUCCUUGCGUUGAUUCUAGAGCCCCCAUUAACAGAUUAUUUCCUUAAUCUAUACCUGACUGGUAUUGCUUCUUGAAUCUUUUAAUUGAUUCCUUGUGAUCCUGCGCCAAAUGUGAUAUAUUAUUUUUCAUCAUUGAAAUUUAUAAUUAACAAAUUUUUCGUAUUUCCAAUCUCUUUAUAUUUCAGAAACCCUACAUAUUUUCCGUCUUUCUCUUUGAUAUUCUUGCUUACCUUCUUUCUCCAAGAUUUCAUUAGUUCAAGUGUUCAACAAUACUUUUUAGCUUCCAAUAGUUUUGUACUUUUAUUACUCUAUAAAAU
rnacentral:lncRNA from 1 species